rnacentral:rRNA from 1 species
UACCUACGGGAGGCAGCAGUGAGGAAUAUUGGUCAAUGGGCGCGAGCCUGAACCAGCCAAGUCGCGUGAGGGAAGACGGUCCUAUGGAUUGUAAACCUCUUUUGUCGGGGAGCAAAAGACGCCACGUGUGGCGUUCCGAGAGUACCCGAAGAAAAAGCAUCGGCUAACUCCGUGCCAGCAGCCGCGGUAAUACGGAGGAUGCGAGCGUUAUCCGGAUUUAUUGGGUUUAAAGGGUGUGCAGGCGGAAGAUCAAGUCAGCGGUAAAAUUGAGAGGUUCAAAAUCUUGGAGACGUUG